rnacentral:rRNA from 1 species
UACGUAGGGUGCGAGCGUUAAUCGGAAUUACUGGGCGUAAAGCGUGCGCAGGCGGUUGUGUAAGACAGGUGUGAAAUCCCCGGGCUUAACCUGGGAAUGGCAUUUGGGACUGCAAGGCUCGAGUGCGGCAGAGGAGACUGGAAUUCCUGGUGUAGCAGUGAAAUGCGUAGAUAUCAGGAGGAACACCAGCGGCGAAGGCGGCGCUCUGGGCUGGAACUGACGCUGAGGAGCGAAAGCGUGGGGAGCGAACAGG